GGGAGACCGGUGCCUGCGCCGCGGUCCCCGCGAUCUUGCGGUCUGAGGGAGGGUCCGCGCACGGACCCCGGCGCCUGUCACUGGAGCGGGCACCUGGCGCUCCCGCGCUGCGGCGCGCGGGGCUGGGGAAUCCGCGGCCACCGCCUCUAAUCCGCCCUUAAGUAGUCUCCGCCUGCGUCACGCCAGGUCGGCGGAGGGGAGCAGAGCGCGGCGUGCCGCUGUCGCCGAGCGUCGGAGCCCGAGGGGCCGCGGCCGCGCGCCGCGGGGGGAGGAGACGGUCUGGAGUCCCCCCGCUGCGCCGGAGAUGGGGAGACGGAGAACUGCAGCGCCCCUUGGGGCUUCUGAGGCGCCCAGGUAACCUCACCUGGCCGCCAGUCUCCCGCAGGAGGAACAGACACAUUGGUGAGUGAUGAGGGACCCGAAUAGAUGGCUUAACUUGCCCCCGUCUGUCCCUUACCUUUAGCUUUGGGCCUUCUGAGACACCACUAAAAUUCCUUUUCUAGAUGGUGGUGCCAGUUGGGGGAAGGGAGUUUUUUAGCCCUUACCGGGAGAGGACAGCCGCCUGCGAGAGUGCUGCAGAGGGUCCCGACUUUCGCGUGUGGAUCAGGUGCUGAGGUGCGGAAUACCUAAUGAGACUCCCUGCUGGCUGACGCCUAAAUGCAGGUGUGAAGGUGUUCUGAGCAGGAAGGUCUGGGUACAAAGUAUUUACCCACCAAACAGGUGCCUAGCAGCGAGCCAGGGGCCCUAAUGCGUGCUCAUUUCUCCCAGCACGGAUAAGGAGGCCGUGAUUUCAUUUGUACAUAACUGAUGGGAGCAGAGGACGCUAGUCAGGUCAGCAUGGUCCAGCCUGGAUUUAAGAAGACCCAGUAUUUAUCUAGCAGAAACAGCAGCUCACAAUCUCACCCCACCCCCACUCUCCUUAUUCAGCAUUUGCCUCCCCCUCCCACUCCCCAGCUCAAAGAACAGAUUCUAGAAUCGGUCUUAAAAUUUACAUUUUGAUGUCAGUUCCAUCUACUGCAUCUACUUAAUUGGUCCCAGGAAAAUUGAGACGAUCACACCAGGCUGCUAAUUAACGUAGGGUCAAUUUUAGGAGGCACCAAAGUUGGGAGUGUGUCAUAUAAAUGUACCAAAAGCACAAUGAGUAAGGUGUUGUCAUCCUUUCAAGAACAUGACUGUGAAAGUGUUGCUAGCUGGUCUUAGGAAUAUAAUGCAGCCUUAAUUACCCACAGGGAGCAUACACAUAAGCUACACCAGGAUGUGCUUUUGAUUCUAGAACGACUGAGUUGGUUGGGUAUCUAUCUCUCGUGGCCCUGAGGAAGGGCCAGGAAGAAAGGUGCAGAGUAGGGUCCAGGGUCCCUACACAUACUCUUCUGCAUGCAUAAUGCUUACAGACAGAACACAAGCUUGAGCCGCAUAACACGCCUGUCCCAAGAUUGUCUCUUGGGGUUGUCACUGCUAGCUCAAGGAAGCAGCUCUCCACUGACAGUAGUAAAGGAAUCCGCUAAAAAUAAUGGAGACAUGUGUAUCAUAGAAAGGCAGUGUCAUGGUUACAGUGCGGGUGGUUUCACUCUCUGGGCAGAAAAAAAAAGGUACAAGAAUGGAGACAGAAAGAGAUCUCUCCAGUUGGUUGACAGAUGGGACGGUGAUUCCCUUAUCUCUAGCAUGAUGCACACUCCCAGGCUUCCUCCUCACUCCCCGGAGUCCCUAUAUUUGUUCCAGCUAUGGCAGACAUUUUUGGAGUAAAGAAUCAUAGCGAGACAAUGGAUGACAGAGUACCAAGAACAAUCUAUUUAAUUACCUUUAAAUGUCCCCUAAUAAGUUGUACAACUCAAAAUCGCUUUCCAUGCCUAGGGCUUUAAAGUGAGUCUGAUGCAAAGUUCAAUCACUGGCCUGUGACUGACUUCUUAUUCAUCAAUUUAUAUUUGAAAAUAGGUGUCCAUACAAAUGGAAGACACACCAGUAUCACUAGUGUAUAAAUACCUCGAAACGCUUCUACAUAGAACCUAGAAUGUAAGACAUCUAUGGGCUAAAUAGCUUGUUUUUUAAGGUUAUGAAAACUUAUUCUUAGCACCAUUUUUUAAAGCAACAAUUUUUAUUUUACUUAUUAAAAAUGUAAUUGUCAGUUGCCCUGCAACAAAUAGAAAAAAGCACAACCCCAGUUUCUGUGUGAAACUGUAUGAAAAUACAUUCAGGAAAUUAAAAUUAUAGACUUUGAGAAACUUCCAUGGGACAAAAUAUAACCUUAAAAUAUUCAUCAAUUUCAAUUUUAUUACCUAACAUUUCAAACCUCUGUAUGUCAAAGGUCAAAGGCCUGUCAAGAGAAAUGUGAAAGGUAUAGAAAUGAAAUCU
rnacentral:lncRNA from 1 species